UGACACUGCGGGUACCUCUUU
rnacentral:miRNA from 1 species